AUUGAACGCUGGCGGCAGGCCUAACACAUGCAAGUCGAGCGAGUGGCGGACGGGUGAGCAAUGUCUGGGAAACUGCCUGAUGGAGGGGGAUAACUACUGGAAAAGGUAGCUAAUACCGCAUACCAUCGGAUGUGCCCAGAUGGGAUUAGCUCGUAGGUGGGGGAACGGCUCACCUCGGCGACGAUCCCUAGCUGGUCUGAGAGGAUGACCAGCCACACUGUAACUGAGACACGGUCCAGACUCCUACGUGAGGCAGCAGUGGGGAAUAUUGCCCAAUGGGCGCAAGCCUGAUGCAGCCAUGCCGCGUGUAUGAAGAGGGCCUUCGGGUUGUAAAGUACUUUCAGCGGGGAGGCGUUACCCGCAGAAGAAGCACCGGCUAACUCCGUGCCAGCAGCCGCGGUAAUAC
rnacentral:rRNA from 1 species